GAAAAAAUGAGGAAAUGUUCUCAUCGUUAUAAAAAGCCGAGAUCAUUUCCUAGAUUAAGCUUAUCCGAGUUUAUUCUAUAAUAUCUCUGAAGAGCAACGUAUAAUUAUUCCAUUAUACAGCCAAAAAGAUGAAGACACUCGUUAUAUUAUUUGCCAUCGGACUCAUGUCCCCGCUGAUCUGCGAAGGUUUAGGUCUUUGUAUGACAACUUGUAAUUCUGACUUCUGUGAAGGAGGUUGUAAAAUAAAGGGGUAUUUUUUCGGAAUGUGUAGCAGUGACCUCAGCUGUCCUCGUGGUAGACCAAUGAUCUGCAACUGUGUCUAAUUGUUGAAUUCCGUUUGACAAUAAACUCUGAUAAAAAUACA